UACGGAGGGUGCAAGCGUUGUCCGGAAUUAUUGGGCGUAAAGCGCGCGCAGGUGGGAUCUUAAGUCCAUUUUGAAAGUUCGGAGCUCAACUCCGUGAGGGGAUGGAAACUGAGAUUCUUGAGUAUCGGAGAGGAAAGCGGAAUUCCCCGUGUAGCGGUGAAAUGCGUAGAUAUGGGGAGGAACACCAGUGGCGAAGGCGGCUUUCUGGACGAUGUCUGACACUGAGGCGCGAAAGCCAGGGGAGCAAACA
rnacentral:rRNA from 2 species